rnacentral:rRNA from 1 species
UACGUAGGGGGCGAGCGUUGUCCGGAAUCAUUGGGCGUAAAGAGCGUGUAGGCGGCUUGGCAAGUCUGACGUGAAAGCCCGCGGCUCAACCGCGGAUUGUCGUUGGAAACUGCCUCGCUAGAGUCCGGAAGAGGAGAGCGGAAUUCCUGGUGUAGCAGUGGAAUGCGCAGAUAUCAGGAAGAACACCCGUGGCGAAGGCGGCUCUCUGGGACGGUACUGACGCUGAGACGCGAAAGCGUGGGGAGCGAACAGG